rnacentral:lncRNA from 1 species
UAGGGCCUCACUUGUGGCAUGUGGAAGUUCCUAGGCUAGAGGUCAAAUUGGAGCUGCAGCUGCCAGCCCACACCAUGGCCUCAGCAAUGCUAGGUCUGAGCUGCGUCUUCAACCUACACCACAGCUCAUGGCAACACCAGAUCCUUAACCCACCUAACGAGGUCAGGGAUGGAACCCACAUCCUCAUGGAUACUAGUGGGGUGAAUUACCAGUGAGUCACAAUGGGAACUUCCUGCUACAUUUUUCUACUGGAAGGAGGGGAGCUGAAUGAAGUGGGGGCUCCACGCUGUGCAGGGGACCCUGGUCAUUCUAUUCUUGGGGACACUCUGGCUUUGCCAAGUCAUACAAUUCAUCCUCUUAUUUUAAUAAUAAGGACUUCCUUAAUUUUUGUUUUUGUUUUUUGUCUUUUUAUGGCCGAACUCACGGCAUAUGGAGGUUCCCAGGCCAGGAUUUGAAUUGGAGCUGUGCAGCUACCAGCCUACACCACAGCCAUAGCUAUGUCAGAUCCUUAACCCACUGAGCGAGGCCAGGGAUCAAACCCACAUCUUCCUGGAUACUAGUCGGGUUCUUAACCCACCAAGCCUCAAUGGAAACUCCUGCAAAUGCUAUUUCUGUUGAGCUUUCCCCUCAGCAUUUGAAUUCCACUAAAAUUUUAAAGAAGAAUUCUAUUCUUCAACUCAAGGCAUUUUGUUUCCAAAAUGAGAGGGGAGAAAAAAAUGUCAGAGAAUCGAGACAUAGAUGCUUCCUCCCAUCAGAAAGAAAGGAGAAGUCCUGUGGAGAAAACAACUGCUUUCCUCAGAGCCUACUGUUCUUCUCCCUCAGCCUCUCUCUCCUUCAGCCUCUGGCACCAUCUCGUGUCUCCCAUCCAAAUCCUGCUUUAGGGGUGUCUGAUCAGGCCACUCAAGGUGGCUAUCCUCUUGAUCUCUGUACACCCCCUGCCCGACCAGUGCCGGCUUCCCUCACAUGACUAUCCAACCUCUUAAUUAUGGGGCUUACUUGGCCUCUGAUAACUUAUGAGCCCCCCUGAGGUCAACUCCCCCUAUAAAUGGUAGCCUCCUUCUCCCCAAGGAGCUAAGACUGCUCCCAUGCCCACGUCUGCUACACACAGAGGGUAUUGCUCCAGGGCCCUUUGUGUAAGAUUCUCAUGUGUAGUCGUCCAUGGAUGUCUCUGUCUCUGUCUCCAGACUCUUUCUUUGGUUUCGAGGCUGGGCAACUACAAUGCUUGCAGGCCUUCGGGGUGCAGCCCAACAAGAGGUGACCACAGGAUGCUAGUAUGCUGCUCAGAGAGCUUUCAGCUGUAUAAGGAAUUCAGGAUGUUGACUUGUCACUCAGCCACAUACACUUCUCCCCUUUUUCUUCACUUCUAGCCUAAAGGCAAGCUGAACCCCAGGACUUUCCAACAGGAUCUUAGCUCUAAGAGGCAGAAGAAUGUGAUGUCAGGAUUUUCCAGCAGCCUUUGCACCGGGUUUUCACUUCUAGCCAUGCUCUGAUACCCUCUUCUAUUUUCAUUUCUAAACGUCAAAAUGUAUUAGAUAUUUUCUCUUCAUUGGCUCUAUUUUGAUUUUGAAAAGUACACACAUACGUGAUAGCAGUUUUUUCUUAUUCCUAUCAUCCGCAGUUCAGAUUUUAAGAGAAGAUGGUCACAACUAAUCACCAAUAAGUAGACACAGGUAUGUUCAUUUGGGACUAGCUUCACCCACCCCUCAAACUCCCACUCACCCAGGUUUCUGUGGAAGGUCUGGAAUCAGUGACAAUGAUGCUUACACUCUGGUUGGGGGUUGGGGAAGCUAUAUGCUGGGCUUGGAUCUUAGUGAUUUCUACGGCAACUCCAAGAUGGAUGGUACCUUCUAUUUUUGGAUUCACACUGGGAAGCCAAUUAAAUUAAAAGGCUAUUCAUUUCACUAUAUUUGUCUCCAGGCUGCUCAAACAGAAAUGCAAACGACUUGUAUUGAAUGAGUUUUCUGCCUCAAAGAGAAUGAGAUUGUAACACCAAACCGUGUGUAUUUCAGAGUCCCAUCUGCAUGAAAAGGGGGAAACACACACCCCAACACUUGAUGCUACUUGAAAGCUUCUCCUGUGACUGCAAAUUGCUAUUACCCUAAAUGAAGGCAUAUGGAGCUUCUAUGGUCACUCACAGGCCCUUAGGGCAGUUGUCAAGAAUGAGUCUGUUUACUGAAAUGGACACAGAAAGGAAGAGGAAAUUCUUUUUUUCUUUCCAGCUUCACUCAAAAGCAUGGAGAAACAACAGAGCACAAAUACUACAAAUACUGCUUCUUUGAUGUUGCCUCCAUUCACAAGAGAAGGUAGCCUCAGAUUGAAGAGAGCUGCCAGUAACCCCAGGGCUCCCAGCUCAGCUCCCAGUUUCAAUUCCUACAAAAUGGAAACAGUAAGUUCUCCCAAUAGUUCAAACCAAAGGUCCAAAAAUGAGUUGUGCUGGCCUGACUGACCUGACUUACAAUGUGUAGCUGAUGAUGAUUGAAUCAGGGGCUAUACAGAACAGCUGACUUAGGCCCAUCGGAGCCCACAGUGAAGUUGUGGGCGAGGAUGAACUGGACUGGGUCACUAAGGGUUCCUGAGAUAGGAUCUGGGGAGUGGUCACUGGUGAGUUGAUCCACCAGAUCACUACAUGUCUACAUGGCUGGAAAGGACCUUUCAAAAACAGGUGGCUUAUCAAAGAAGAAAACUGGAAGCAACUGGAAUUUGCAAUUUUUUCCUUAAAACACAUGUGGCACGUGGACAUAGGAUUGUCCUCCAGUAGUCCUUGAACAAAAGUAAUUUCAAUAUUGAAUAGAUGAGCUCCCCCCCCCCAAAAAAAUAGGACUUUCCAACUAGCCUAUAGUCUCUAAAAUAACAGCCUACAACCUGCCAUUUGUAGAUCAUUUCAAGGCCUGGCCAGCCCAAAUUGAAACUUGCCCAUCACCAAUGGCAGAUGAAAUGUUAGGUUGCCCGUAAUGGCAGAGCUACCAGGGCCUCCGUGAUGGAGCAGAUGUGGGUUAUGAAGGUUGUCAUGACCUUCAUUAUGGCUUAUAGAGACCUGCCUGGCAGGAUGUAAUAAGCAGAAUGAAAUGAGACAACAAAAAUGUCACAAUGUUUAUGAAAGUACAAAAUGAUUCCCCAAGAAAGAAGUCAUUUAGAGAAAACUGAAAAACACUUGACUUCAUCUUCACUUUUAUGAAAAAAAAAAAAAUCCCCAUCUGAGGGCAAUUCACCUUUGAAAUUCACAUCCAUUUAAAAUGAUUAGAAGGAAGGAAGGGAGGAAAGGGGCAAAAGGAAAGGAGAGAGGGAGGGAGAGAGCAAAGGCUGGUACAGAGCCUAGAGCAUGAAGAAUUUUUGACCACCUUAGUAACUUACCUCUCAAGUCUCAAGAUCACUCUUUUUUCUCAUAAAAUAGAGCAAAUGCAAACCUGAGGCCUGAUUUUUUACCAGGUAAGAUCUCCUCUGAAAUGUCUGUUGUCUUUUGGCAAGUACCCCAAAUAGUAAAUUGGAUCAAAAUGAAUGGGCAGUGUUUGAUGCUAUUAUAUUCCUAACAUCCCCUAAAAAAGAAAAGCUAUCCAAAAAUGCAAGCAAAUAUGUAUCAGAAUGUUCACAACAGGUCUACUCAUAAUAGCCCCCAAACUGGAAACAACCCAAAUCUUCAUCAGGAAUAGAAUGGAUAAAUAAAUCAUGGCAUAUCCAUACAAUGAAAUACUAGCAAGGAGAAUAAACAAACUACUGCCACAUGUAACAGUAUGAGAAAACCUCACAAGGAUAAUGUUUAACAAAAGAAACCAGAUGGAAUGGAAUAUUUAUUAUAAUAUUCCAAUUAUACUAAAGUUCAAAAAACAGACAACUAAUUUAUGGUGAUUAAAGCCAGAUUAGUAGUUACCACUGGGGAAAGAGAACAUGUGGGCACCCCUAGAGUGUUUGUCAAGUUCCAUUUCUUGAUUUGAAUGACAGAUACACUUUGUGAAAAUUCAUCAAGUGACAUAAGUAUGGCUGGUGCUUUUUUCUGCAUGUGUAUUUUACUUCAAUAAAAAGUUUACUUUGAAGCUCAUAUCAUAUGAGCAAACUUUAGGGGAUGAUGGAAAUAUGCAAUAGUUCAACUAUGGUGGUGAUUACAAGACUAUACAUACUAUACAUUCAUUAAAACUAACCAAACUGUGCAGUUAAAAUUAGUGCAUUUAUUACAUGUAAACUAUAGUUAGUAAAAUUGAUUUUUUUUAACUUUAAAGAUUUUAUGAAUGAGAAUUCCACUCAUUAUACACCAAAGUAGUUCGAGAAUGAUUCAGAAAAGCAACUGUGUGCAUUUAUUUCUGAGUUUUAUUUUGUAGGAGAAACAAAGAACCCAAUGGUUCAAAUACUUAAAUCUGUAAAAAUUAUUAUACGUCCUUAAAGGCAGAGAACCUAUCUAUAUGUGAAUCUUAAUGUCAGCCAAUUGGAAAACUGAGGCUACAGACUCUCUGUGCAAUUCUAAUUCAUAAUCCUAUGAAUUUCUCCCAGGGUCAUUAACAUGCAUGUAUCAGCACAUUAUUGUGGCUGUGCAUGAUAAUGCUGUCAAACAAAUAAGCCCCAAAACUCUUUGAUUGCUUACACAUUUGGAUCAGCUCUGUUGAUUGUCCAGAGCUUGCUCCCAUAUCUGGGGUAAGGAGAGCUACUGCCUAAUAUAAGUUGGCCUCAACUGGAAUAAUUAGAACAGCUCGGUGUGGUUGUGAUCCACCAAGACAGUCCUCAGUUGAUGCUUGCCUCCUGAAAACCUCAUUCUGGUGCAGUUCCUUCCCAUAUAAUGUAAAGCUGUCCUGUGUAACUAAUAGGAUAUUCAAAAGCCAACACAGUCACUCCAAAGCCUGGUCACAAAAGACACUCUAGCUUCUGUCUUGCUCAUUUGGACCACUCAGCUAAGUGAAGCCAGUUACCAUGUCCUAAGGAUACAUAAUCAGCCCUAUGGAGAGAUUCACAGGAUGAGAAACCAAAAUCUCAACAUCCAGCACCAACUUGCCAGACACAUGCAAGAGCCAUUUUGGAAGUAGGCUGUCUAGCCCCAGCCAAGCCUUCAGAUGACCAUAACCCUGAGCCAGAACCCUGAAUCAGGACCAACCAGCUAAGCCACUCAUGAAUUUCUAAAGCAUAGAAACUCUGAAAGAUAAUGCCUAUUGUUUUAUGCUAUCUUUGGGGACAAUUUGUUAUGCAGUCAUAGAUAACCAACAUACUUGACUCUGUACCACGUAGCUCUCAUUAUUCAAUAGGCUACCUUACGUACAUUCUCAUGGUGACAGCAGAGAUGCAAGACAGCAAGUGAGGGAAUACAUGCAAGCACUUCUCAAAUCUCUACUUAUAUCCUGUCUCCAAAGAUCCUUUUGUCCAAAUUAAGUCAAAUGACUUAGCUUAGUGUGGUGGGGUUGGGCAGGUUAGCUCACCAACUGUGAGAAGGCAUUGCAAAGUUAUAUGACAAAGAACAUGGUUGGUGGUUUUAAAAAAGUCUUUGACACUGCCCCAUAUUAAAGGGGGAGACUAUUUCCCCUCCUCUCAAAUGUGGACUAGUCUUAGUGACUCAUUUCUAAUGAGAAGAGUGUGGUGGAAGUGAAGAUUCCCAGGCUAGUGCCAACAACCAGCACCAACUUGCCACCACGAUGGAAGUGGAUCUU